CCUACGGGGGGCAGCAGUGAGGAAUAUUGGUCAAUGGACGCAAGUCUGAACCAGCCAUGCCGCGUGCAGGAAGACGGCUCUAUGAGUUGUAAACUGCUUUUGUACGAGGGUAAACGCAGAUACGCGUAUCUGUCUGAAAGUAUCGUACGAAUAAGGCUCGGCUAACUCCGUGCCAGCAGCCGCGGUAAUACGGAGGAUUCAAGCGUUAUCCGGAUUUAUUGGGUUUAAAGGGUGCGUAGGCGGUCGGAUAAGUUAGGGGUGAAAUCCCGAGGCUCAACUUCGGAAUUGCCUUUGAUACUGGUUGGCUAGAGAGUAGGUGCGGUAGGCGGAAUGUAUGGUGUAGCGGUGAAAUGCUUAGAGAUCAUACAGAACACCGAUUGCGAAGGCAGCUUACCAAGCUACUUCUGACGUUGAGGCACGAAAGCGUGGGGAGCAAACAGGAUUAGAUACCCUUGUAGUC
rnacentral:rRNA from 1 species